AUCACUGUGAAUUGCUCAGUGAAGAUGGUGUCAGAGCUGCUCAACUGUAUGUGGAAAUUUCUCUCCAGAUAUAAACAUCUGCAAAAAAUAAAUAGGGAUGGAAAAGCUCCACCCUGAGUUGCCUCAUACAGGUGGUGUUUACUGUGCCCCUGGACUGCAUGAAGAAGACGUUAAAGCCAGAUGUGAUGAUGCACACCUGUGAUCCCAGCACUCAAGGAGACUGACGUAGGAAGAUCACAGGUUCAAGCUCCAGCCUGUGCAACUCAGUAACUUAGCAAAACCCUGUAUCAUAAUUUAAAAAAUAAAUAAAUAAAAGCCUGGGAAUAUA